UGGGCACCCCCGCCUCCCAAAUCGUAAUACAUCCCCCUCGCUUGCCGAAAAUAAAUUUAUCCACAGCCUUUUGGAAAAUGAAAUAAGAGAUCACAAUUCAUCUGAAAUGAAAUAAAAACCACUCUACAUCCUCCCUUAUCAGAUUACCUGAAAAGGACUAUAAUUGCCAUGGAGGUCAUGAAUUCACAAGUUUCAUCAGACUUUCUUCCCAGGAUAUUUUGGGAGUUCCAGUCCCAAUCCUGAGAUGACAAUCAAGAGCUUGUAGAGUCACUGCCAUGCAGAUAAUUCAUGAAUCACUUUGGAAUACUGGGAUUGGCCCUUAUCAGAAAAAAAAACCACCACUUGUAUCCAGAUUCACAAGAGAGGACUAAUGAUGAGCAACCAGCAGCAAAGCAAAGUCAGAAAUGCUAGCUGAUGAUAAGCAGACUGUCAUGUUCCGUGUAUCCAGCACCAAGAAACCUCACGCAACAGUUUUUGUUUGAAGUGUUUUAUCCUGGAAAGCUUGGAAACCGGGCACUGAGUGACAUACAAAGUCAGCAUUACCCACGGCAUUUCCGCCACAUCUUAACAUCCCCAUGCCCGUGCCUACCCCACACCCUUGGCUUCUGGACACUGCUAACAGCCUGGAAUCUUUGGCCAUGUCUAGACCAACACUCAGUUGCUGGCCUGCUCUCCAUGCUGCAGCUGGUUGGCGCUUUGCUUCCCAGUUGAUCCAUUUGCUGUAAACCUCCCAGCUGAUCAGCACAGCCACUCCAUUUUCAGCCUCCCAGCUGAUCAGCACAGCCACUCCAUUUGCCAGCUGAUCAGUGCAGCUCCCAGUCAUGCCCCUGCAUCCUCCUCUCUCUGAAUGGCAACUGUGAGACGGCUCGCCAGAGGCUUGCUGUUUCGGGGGGUGACACAGACAGCUCCAGCACCACCAAAUGGACUUCCAUUUGAAUUAGCCAAAAGAGGUAAGGCAAAACAACACAGAAGUCACAGAUGCCUUAGCUUUCUGAAAAUGAGGAUGUGGAAUUACCACUUCCUCCCAACACAACAGUUUGGUGGUCUGCAAAGAGUGUAGAACAGGCAAUAGAGCUCUCUAUUAACAACUGCCUGUUAAAUCCCAUUCCUUGUAGCUUGACUUGCAAAACUUUACAACCCUGAUUUUGAGCCUGGAAAUGCCAACCACAAGCUUCGAUCCUUGGACUUCGCUUCACUACUUUCUUGUAUGCUGCUUUGAUACGGAAACUUCUAAGCCAAACUUGUUGAACUUGAGGGGGACAGGAGUGGGAAUUUGUCUCUAUACUGCAAGUGCCUUUGUUUGCAAUCCUCAUUUAGUAAAGAGAACAAAAUUAUAUAUGUGUGCAGACAUGCGUGUGCACACACACACGGCCUGGGACAGGACAGGAGAGUUACUGUCAAAAACAUCAAUUUAUACUAUUAUUAUAUCUAAACUUAUGGACUUUGAUUCAUCCAACAGGAUUUAGUUUUAAUCUCAUAGCCUUCAUUUUCACCAAACAAGUUCUGGAGAAUCCCUCAACUCCCACAUACUGUGUUUCCCCCAAAAUGUGACAUGUUAUGAUACUAAGCCCAUUCAGGCUUUUCAGGGCAUUGGCUAAAAUAUUCUCCCCCCAAAUACCCCCCCCCCAAA